GGAUUGUGGCUCAGUGGUGGUGCACUUGCCUAGCAUGCAUGAGGCACUGGGUUCAAUUCUCAGCACCA
rnacentral:tRNA from 1 species